AUACGGAGGAUCCGAGCGUUAUCCGGAUUUAUUGGGUUUAAAGGGUGCGCAGGCGGGAGAUUAAGUCGGCGGUGAAAUUUUGCAGCUCAACUGUAAAAGUGCCUUCGAAACUGGUUUCCUUGAGUGUAGAUGAAGUAGGCGGAAUUUGUGGUGUAGCGGUGAAAUGCAUAGAUAUCACGAGGAACUCCGAUUGCGCAGGCAGCUUACUAAACUACUACUGACGCUCAGGCACGAAGGCGUGGGGAUCAAACAGGAUUCGAUACCCUGGUAGUCCACGCAGUAAACGAUGAUUACUAGCUGUUUGCGAUACAAUGUAAGCGGCUGAGCGAAAGCGUUAAGUAAUCCACCUGGGGAGUACGUUCGCAAGAAUGAAACUCAAAUGAAUUGACGGGG
rnacentral:rRNA from 1 species